rnacentral:rRNA from 1 species
UUGACCUCGGAUCAGGUAGGGAUACCCGCUGAACUUAAGCAUAUCAAUAAGCGGAGGAAAAGAAACCAACAGGGAUUGCCCCAGUAACGGCGAGUGAAGCGGCAAGAGCUCAAAUUUGAAAUCUGGCCCCUCCGGGGUCCGAGUUGUAAUUUGCAAAGGAUGCUAACGGGCGCGGUCCCCGUCUAAAAUACUCUGGAAACGGGUCGUCAUA